AUGCAGUUUUUUGAGCAUGCUCGAAUAAUUGCGAAGCAGAAAGAGGCCGGCAUCGUCUCACCUUUUCCAUCCUCAACAAUUCUGGGGAAAAAGAAUCAGGGACAAACAAAACCCGCCAGAGUGGUUGCACCAGUAGCUCUAUCUCGUCCUAACUCCACCCCCUCGCACGCCCUCAAAAUGAGGGAAUGGGAAAAGAGAGGAGAGGAAAUGACUAGCCAUAACCAUGCUACUAGCCCAUAUGCUUCAUCAUGCACUAAUAAAAAAUUGAAGUACUUGUCGAAUCACAUCAUUCAUUGGGCAUCUAAGCAGAUACUGUAG
rnacentral:rRNA from 1 species